rnacentral:rRNA from 1 species
CAGCACCUCAAGUGGUCAGGAUGAUUAUUGGGCCUAAAGCAUCCGUAGCCGGCGCUGUAAGUUUUCGGUUAAAUCUGUACGCUCAACGUACGGGCUGCCGGGAAUACUGCAGCGCUAGGGAGUGGGAGAGGUAGACGGUACUCGGUAGGAGGGGGUAAAAUCCUUUGAUCUAUUGAUGACCACCUGUGGCGAAGGCGGUCUACCAGAACACGUCCGACGGUGAGGGAUGAAAGCUGGGGGAGCAAACCGGAUUAGAUACCCGAGUAGUCC